UGUAUAUCUGCAUGUGUAUUAGUGUGUCUGUGCAUCUGCAUGUGUGUCAGUAUGUGUAUCAAAACUGACACACUGACACACAUGCAGAUACUGACACACAUACAGAUGUACAGACACACUAAUAUGCCUG